AUGUUACUAAAGAUUAAUGAAGCAGUUUCUCUGGUUUUAGGUCUAAUUUUCAUGUGUUUUUUUUUAACUGUAAAUAAUUUACUGGAGCAUGUAAUGAAACAAACAAAAUCCCAUCUGAUACAGUCAUACACGUCUGUCUGUAUCUGUCUGUCUGUCUGUCUGUCUGUCUGUCUGUCCGUCUGUCUGUCUGUCUGUCUGUCUGUCUGUAUCUGUCUGUCUGUCUGUCUGUAUCUAUCUGUCUGUCUGUCUGUAUCUAUCUGUCUGUCUGUCUGUAUCUGUCUGUCUGUCUGUAUCUGUCUGUCUGUCUGUCUGUAUCUGUCUGUCUGUCUGUCUAUAUCUGUCUGUCUAUCUAUAUCUAUCUAUUUGUCUGUCUGUCUCUGUCUGUCAGUCUCUGUCCUUCUGUCUGUCUGUCUGUCUAUAUCUGUCUGUCUGUCUAUAUGUCUGUCUGUCUAUCUAUAUCUGUCUGUCUGUCUAUAUCUGUCUGUCUGUCUAUAUCUGUCUGUCUGUCUGUAUCUGUCUGUCUGUCUGUGUGUCUGUCUGUCUGUCUGUGUCUGUCUGUCUGUGUGGCUGUCUGUAUCUGUCUGUCUGUCUGUGUGUGUCUGUGUGUCUGUCUGUCUGUCUGUAUGUGUCUGUCUGUCUGUCUAUCUGUGUCUGUCUGUCUGUCUGUAUGUGUCUGUCUGUCUGUCUAUCUGUGUCUGUGUGUCUGUCUGUCUGUCUGUCUGUCUGUCUCUGUCUGUCUGUCUCUCUCUAUCUGUCUGUCUGUCUGUCUAUCUAUAUCUAUCUGUCUGUCUGUCUAUCUAUAUCUGUCUGUCUGUCUAUAUCUGUCUGUCUGUCUGUGUCUGUCUAUCUGUCUGUCUGUCUGUCUGUAUCUGUCUGUCUGUCUAUCUAUAUCUGUCUGUCUGUCUGUGUGUCUAUAUUUGUCUGUCUGUCUAUCUAUAUCUGUCUGUCUGUCUGUCUGUCUAUCUAUAUCUAUUUGUCUGUCUGUCUGUCUGUCUAUAUCUAUCAAUCUGUCUGUCUAUCUAUAUCUGUCUGUCUGUCUGUCUAUCUAUAUCUAUCUGUCUGUCUGUCUAUCUAUAUCUGUAUGUCUGUCUGUCUAUAUCUAUCAAUUUAUCUGUCUAUCUAUAUCUGUCUGUCUGUCUGUCUGUCUGUCUAUAUCUAUUUGUCUGUCUGUCUGUCUAUAGCUAUCUAUUUGUCUGUAUCUGUCUGUCUGUCUAUCUAUCUAUCUAUCAGUCUGUCUGUCUAAAACUUUACUGUAUUACUUAA
ensembl:lncRNA